rnacentral:tRNA from 1 species
GGUUAGCUCAAUCGGUAGAGCGUGAGACUCUUAAUCUCAAGGUUGCGGGUUCGGUUAGUAAUCCCCUCAGUUCCC